UGGGGAAUAUUGCACAAUGGGGGAAACCCUGAUGCAGCAACGCCGCGUGCGGGAUGACGGCCUUCGGGUUGUAAACCGCUUUCAGCCAUGACGAAGCUUUUGUGACGGUAGUGGCAGAAGAAGCACCGGCUAACUACGUGCCAGCAGCCGCGGUGAUACGUAGGGUGCGAGCGUUGUCCGGAACUAUUGGGCGUAAAGAGCUUGUAGGCGGUUUGUCGCGUUGAAAGUGUAAACUCAGUGCUUAACGCUGAGCCUGCUUUCGAUACGGGCUGACUAGAGGAAGGUAGGGGAGAAUGGAAUUGCCGGUGGAGCGGUGGAAUGCGCAGAUAUCGGGAGGAGCACCAGUGGCGAAGGCGGUUCUCUGGACCUUUCCUGACGCUGAGAAGCGAAAGCGUGGGUAGCAAACAGG
rnacentral:rRNA from 1 species